AUGGGUUAUGGGGUUGUUGUUCUCGGUUUUGUGAGGAGUGGGGGUUUUUAUGGCCGUGGGGAUGGAUUUUUGGGCUGGUGUGUGGCUAGGAAAUUCUGACCGAGGCUUUUAUAUCAUGGGUAGUUUUUCUGGUCGAGGGUAGGUGUAGGAGAUGUGUUUGGGUUUGUUUGGCCGUGUAUGGUAGGUUAUGAAUGAGGAUGAGGGGGUAGCUGGAUAAAAGAAAAUGGAAGAAGACUUGAGGAGAAGGUGCCACAAGCUUGUAGCUUGAUAAACCAACUGAAAUCCACCACAACAAGGAUGUUGAUGAGGAUGAUAGUAAGCACCACACCAAUGAAGGUGAUAAGCCAGAAACGCCACAAGAAAGCUUGAUAAGUUAAAAGGGUAGGAGCAAAGCUCAACUAAAACAACAAAGUGUUUUUCUCUUAAAAUUCAAAUCUGAAUUCUAAAAAAGGCAACAACCAAGCUCCUUGAUUCCUCUUUGGUAAGUUUCCCACGGUUUGAAUGCUAUACCACGUGGCUGAAUUCAUUAAAUGGCAUGAUUCUCCAUAAAAGGCAAGUAAUCAAGCUCCCACGCAACUCAUUAAUUGAGGAAUUCAAAUGUGCAUGCUGAAU